rnacentral:rRNA from 1 species
UACGUAGUGUGCGAGCGUUAAUCGGAAUUACUGGGCGUAAAGUGUGCGCAGGCGGCCGCGCAAGUCGAGUGUGAAAGCCCCGGGCUUAACUUGGGAAUUGCGCUCGAAACUACGUGGCUGGAGUGUGGCAGAGGAAGGUGGAAUUCCAGGUGUAGCGGUGAAAUGCGUAGAGAUCUGGAGGAACACCGAUGGCGAAGGCAGCCUUCUGGGCCAACACUGACGCUCAUGCACGAAAGCGUGGGGAGCAAACAGG